rnacentral:rRNA from 1 species
GUGGGGGAUAUUGCACAAUGGGGGAAACCCUGAUGCAGCGACGCCGCGUGAGGGAAGACGGUCUUCUGGAUUGUAAACCUCUGUCUUCAGGGACGAAUAAUGACGGUACCUGAGGAGGAAGCCACGGCUAACUACGUGCCAGCAGCCGCGGUAAUACGUAGGUGGCAAGCGUUGUCCGGAAUUACUGGGUGUAAAGGGAGCGUAGGCGGGGACGCAAGUUGAAUGUUUAACCUAUGGGCUUAACCCAUAGUCGCGUUCAAAACUGUGUCUCUUGAGUGAAGUAGAGGCAGGCGGAAUUCCUAGUGUAGCGGUGAAAUGCGUAGAUAUUAGGAGGAACACCAGUGGCGAAGGCGGCCUGCUGGGCUUUUACUGACGCUGAAGCUCGAAAGUGCGGGGAGCAAACAGGAUUAGAAACCCUAGUAGUCC